rnacentral:rRNA from 1 species
UACGUAGGGUGCGAGCGUUAAUCGGAAUUACUGGGCGUAAAGCGUGCGCAGGCGGUUUUGUAAGCCAGAUGUGAAAGCCCCGGGCUUAACCUGGGAAUGGCAUUUGGGACUGCAAGGCUGGAGUGUGGCAGAGGAGACUGGAAUUCCUGGUGUAGCAGUGAAAUGCGUAGAUAUCAGGAGGGACACCGAUGGCGAAGGCAGGUCUCUGGGCUGACACUGACGCUCAUGCACGAAAGCGUGGGGAGCAAACAGG